UACGUAGGCAGCAAGCGUUGUUCGGAGUUACUGGGCGUAAAGGGUGCGUAGGCGGUCCUAUAAGUAUGGUGUGAAAUCUCCCGGCUUAACUGGGAGGGUGCGCUAUAGACUGUGGGACUAGAGUGUGGGAGAGGAAAGUGGAAUUCCUGGUGUAGCGGUGAAAUGCGUAGAUAUCGGGAGGAACACCUGUGGCGAAAGCGGCUCACUGGACCACAACUGACGCUGAGGCGCGAAAGCUAGGGGGAGCAAACA
rnacentral:rRNA from 1 species